ACAGAAACGAUGGGAGCUUGCUCCCAGGCGUCGAGUGGCGGACGGGUGAGUAAUACUUAGGAAUCUGCCCAAUAGUGGGGGACAACUCGGGGAAACUCGAGCUAAUACCGCAUACGCCCUACGGGGGAAAGCGGGGGAUCUUCGGACCUCGCGCUAUUGGAUGAGCCUAAGUCGGAUUAGCUUGUUGGUGGGGUAAAGGCCUACCAAGGCGACGAUCCGUAGCUGGUCUGAGAGGAUGAUCAGCCACACUGGGACUGAGACACGGCCCAGACUCCUACGGGAGGCAGCAGUAGGGAAUAUUGGACAAUGGGCGAAAGCCUGAUCCAGCAAUGCCGCGUGUGUGAAGAAGGCCUGCGGGUUGUAAAGCACUUUCAGUAGAGAAGAAAAGCUUAGGGAUAAUACCCCUGAGUCUUGACGUAACCUACAGAAGAAGCACCGGCUAACUUCGUGCCAGCAGCCGCGGUAAUACGGAGGGUGCGAGCGUUAAUCGGAAUUACUGGGCGUAAAGCGCGCGUAGGCGGCUUGGUAAGUCGGAUGUGAAAGCCCUGGGCUUAACCUGGGAACUGCAUUCGAUACUGCUGAGCUAGAGUAUGGUAGAGGGAAGUGGAAUUUCCGGUGUA
rnacentral:rRNA from 1 species